rnacentral:rRNA from 1 species
AACGAACGCUGGCGGCGCGCCUUAAGCAUGCAAGUCGGACGGCAAGGGUAGCAAUACCCCUAGAGUGGCGGACUGGUUAGUAACGCGUGGGUGCCCUACCCUCGAGAUGGGGAUAGCCAUUAGAAAUAGUGGAUAAUACCGAAUACGCUCGUGACCCUGUGGGGAUACGAGGAAAUCAGGCCACGGCCUGGCUCGAGGAUGGGCCCGCGUCCCAUUAGCUAGUUGGUGGGGUAACGGCCCACCAAGGCGACGAUGGGUAUCCGGCCUGAGAGGGUGUACGGACACAUUGGGACUGAGAUACGGCCCAAACUCCUACGGGAGGCAGCAGCUAAGAAUAUUCCGCAAUGGACGAAAGUCUGACGGAGCGACGCCGCGUGGAUGAAGAAGGCCGAAAGGUUGUAAAAUCCUUUUGCUGAUGAAGAAUAUGUGGUGUAGGGAAUGACAUCAUGAUGACAUUAGUCGGUGAAUAAGCCCCGGCUAACUACGUGCCAGCCGCCGCAGUAA